rnacentral:rRNA from 1 species
UGAGGAAUAUUGGACAAUGGAGGCAACUCUAAUCCAGCCAUGCCGCGUGAAGGACUAAGGCCCUAUGGGUCGUAAACUUCUUUUGACGCAGAGCAAUAAGGAUUACGUGUAGUCUGAUGAGAGUAUGCGUCGAAUAAGCAUCGGCUAACUCCGUGCCAGCAGCCGCGGUAAUACGGAGGAUGCAAGCGUUAUCCGGAUUUAUUGGGUUUAAAGGGUGCGUAGGCGGAUGGGUAAGUCAGCGGUGAAAUGUCCCGGCUCAACCGGGGAACUGCCAUUGAUACUGCCGGCCUUGAGUUCACACAAGGAAGGUGGAAUUCGUCGUGUAGCGGUGAAAUGCUUAGAUAUGACGAAGAACUCCGAUUGCGAAGGCAGCCUUCUGGGGUGUUACUGACGCUGAGGCUCGAAAGUGCGGGAAUCAAACAGGAUUAGAUACCCUGGUAGU